rnacentral:rRNA from 1 species
UACGUAGGGUGCAAGCGUUAUCCGGAAUUAUUGGGCGUAAAGAGCUCGUAGGCGGUUUGUCGCGUCUGCUGUGAAAACUGGAGGCUCAACCUCCAGCCUGCAGUGGGUACGGGCAGACUAGAGUGCGGUAGGGGGAGAUUGGAAUUCCUGGUGUAGCGGUGGAAUGCGCAGAUAUCAGGAGGAACACCGAUGGCGAAGGCAGUUCUCUGGGCAUUACCUGACGCUGAGGAGCGAAAGUGUGGGGAGCGAACAGG